UACGGAGGGUGCAAGCGUUAUCCGGAUUUACUGGGUUUAAAGGGUGCGUAGGCGGGCCUUUAAGUCAGUGGUGAAAUCUCCCCGCUCAACGGGGAAAUUGCCAUUGAUACUAUUGGCCUUGAAUUUAGUUGAGGUGGGCGGAAUGUGUCGUGUAGCGGUGAAAUGCUUAGAUAUGACACAGAACACCGAUUGCGAAGGCAGCUCGCUAAACUAAUAUUUACGCUGAGGCACGAAAGCGUGGGGAUCAAACAGG
rnacentral:rRNA from 1 species